rnacentral:rRNA from 1 species
GACAGAGGGGGCAAGCGUUGCUCGGAAUUACUGGGCGUAAAGGGCGCGUAGGCGGGAUGGCAAGUCGGUCGUGAAAUCCCUCGGCUCAACCGAGGAACGUCGAUCGAUACUGCUGUUCUUGAGGAUUGCAGAGGAGACUGGAAUUCCCGGUGUAGCGGUGAAAUGCAUAGAUAUGCCAUAGAACACCAAUUGCGAAGGCAGCUGGCUAGACCUGGAUUGACGCUGAGGCACGAAAGCGUGGGGAGCGAACAGG